rnacentral:lncRNA from 1 species
CUUCGUAAUUUUGAAUUGCGUAAAUAUCAGAACUCCGAAAAUAGUGUCCAUGCCAGCAAACGAGUUCGACCAUUUCAUCUACCCAUAGUUUAAAUUUAUUGUCACAUUGUAAGUGUCUUCUUCGUCAGUAUUGUAAUUUUUGUUUUAUAAAAGGUCGUAUAUUGAACUAGUUCAAUGGCUCAUCCCAUUGUCCGAGGUGUU